rnacentral:rRNA from 1 species
GUUGGUGGAGUGAUUUGUCUGGUUAAUUCCGUUAACGAACGAGACCUCAGCCUGCUAAAUAGUUCGACAAACUUUUUGUUUGCAUCGAAGCUUCUUAGAGGGACUGUCUGCUUCCAGCAGAAUGAGGUUUGAGGCAAUAACAGG